rnacentral:tRNA from 1 species
GGGGGAAUAGCUCAAAGGCUGAGCAAUAGGCUGUUAACCUAUCCGAUCUGAGUUCAAAUCUCAGUUCCCCCUCCA